rnacentral:rRNA from 1 species
GAGUUUGAUCCUGGCUCAGAUUGAACGCUGGCGGUAUGCUUAACACAUGCAAGUCGAACGGUAACAGAGGAAAGCUUGCUUUCUUGCUGACGAGUGGCGGACGGGUGAGUAAUACAUAGGAAUCUGCCUAGUAGUGGGGGACAACUUGGGGAAACUCGAGCUAAUACCGCAUACGCCCUACGGGGGAAAGCGGGGGAUCUUCGGACCUCGCGCUAUUGGAUGAGCCUAUGUCAGAUUAGCUUGUUGGUGAGGUAAAGGCUCACCAAGGCUACGAUCUGUAGCUGGUCUGAGAGGACGAUCAGCCACACUGGGACUGAGACACGGCCCAGACUCCUACGGGAGGCAGCAGUGGGGAAUAUUGGACAAUGGGCGCAAGCCUGAUCCAGCAAUGCCGCGUGUGUGAAGAAGGCCUGAGGGUUGUAAAGCACUUUCAGUAGGGAAGAAAGGUCUAACGUUAAUAGCGUUGGACUGUGACGUUACCUACAGAAGAAGCACCGGCUAACUCCGUGUCAGCAGCCGCGGUAAUACGGAGGGUGCGAGCGUUAAUCGGAAUUACUGGGCGUAAAGCGCACGUAGGCGGUUUAGUAAGUCGAAUGUGAAAGCCCUGGGCUCAACCUGGGAACUGCAUUCGAUACUGCUUAACUAGAGUAUGACAGAGGAAUGUGGAAUUCCGGGUGUAGCGGUGAAAUGCGUAGAUAUCCGGAGGAACACAGUGGCGGAGGACACCAGUGGCGAAGGCGACAUUCUGGGUUAAUACUGACGCUGAGGUGCGAAAGCGUGGGGAGUAAACAGGAUUAGAUAUCCUGGUAGUCCACGCCGUAAAUGAUGUCAACUAGCCGUUGGGGGGUUUGACCCUUUAGUGGCGCAGCUAACGCGUUAAGUUGACCGCCUGGGGAGUACGGGCUAAAACUCAAAUGAAUUGACGGGGGCCCGCACAAGCGGUGGAGCAUGUGGUUUAAUUCGAUGCAACGCGAAGAACCUUACCAGGCCUUGACAUCCUGAGAACUUUCUAGAGAUAGAUUGGUGCCUUCGGGAAUUCAGUGACAGGUGCUGCAUGGCUGUCGUCAGCUCGUGUCGUGAGAUGUUGGGUUAAGUCCCGCAACGAGCGCAACCCUUGUCCUUAGUUGCCAGCACGUAAUGGUGGGAACUCUAAGGAGACUGCCGGUGACAAACCGGAGGAAGGUGGGGAUGACGUCAAGUCAUCAUGGCCCUUAUGGGCUGGGCUACACACGUGCUACAAUGGUGAAUACAAAGGGUUGCCAACCCGCGAGGGGGAGCUAAUCUCAAAAAAUUCAUCUCAGUCCGGAUUGGAGUCUGCAACUCGACUCCAUGAAGUCGGAAUCGCUAGUAAUCGUGAAUCAGCAAUGUCGCGGUGAAUACGUUCCCGGGCCUUGUACACACCGCCCGUCACACCAUGGGAGUUGGCUGCACCAGAAGUAGGUAGCUUACCCUUCGGGAGGACGGUCACCACUUUGUGAUUCAUGACUGGGGUGAAGUCGUAACAAGGUAGCCGUAGGGGAACCUGCGGCUGGAUCACCUCCUAU